rnacentral:pre_miRNA from 1 species
AAUAAGAUUAUUUUUUAGUUUUUUGAUACAAUGUUUUGACUCUUCGUCUUAUUUAAAAUAUUUUUAUGAUUAAUAUUUUUAUUCUUACUAGAUGAUGAAACAUGAAUAGUGUUUUAAGUUUUUUAUAAUUUUUUUAAAUAAGACGAAUGGUCAAAUGUUGGACAUGGAAAAACA